CACGUAGGGGGCGAGCGUUGUCCGGAUUUAUUGGGCGUAAAGAGCUCGUAGGCGGCUCGGUAAGUCAGGUGUGAAAACUCUAGGCUCAACCUAGAGACGCCACCUGAUACUGCUGUGGCUAGAGUCCGGUAGGGGAGCAUGGAAUUCCUGGUGUAGCGGUGAAAUGCGCAGACAUCAGGAGGAACACCGGUGGCGAAGGCGGGUCUCUGGGCCGAUACUGACGCUGAGGAGCGAAAGCGUGGGGAGCGAACAGG
rnacentral:rRNA from 1 species